UCCUUUCUACUUCGGGCAAAUCUACUGUUCCACGCGAGACGCGCUCCUUCUUGUUGCCCUAACUCGCGCGUUUCCUCCUCCUUCCCGCCUCUUCUCUCCCCCUCCCCCCCCCCGCUCUCUUUCGCCCUCGCCUAUCAUUUUGCUUUCGGGUAUGUUCCCCUUUCGUUCGAAGGUAGCACGAAUCUACGCGCUCAUCCGAUAGAAACCGAUAAGAAACGUUCGACAUGCACACGAGGGAUUCCCAUCAGGGACGAUCGGACCCCGGUAUUCCGCAGAUUCGAAUCGUUGAUUCAAUGAUUCGAAUUUUUUGGAGGAUGUAAACAUUGCGGUCAUUUUCGACCCGUUCGAUUAGAAAAGCCGGUAACAACGAUAAUUAACGAUGAUAAAAAUGACGAGUUUGAAUAUAUCGAUACGAGAUCACUUCACUAGCGAAUUAAUCAUUUGUUUAGAUUAUUCGAAUUAUUUACAUUUAAAAUAUCUAAGAAGAACGGACGAAAGGAAAUUAUUGGAUGAAGGAAGAUGGAGAUAAAUGAUAUUCGUGACUCGAAAAAUUUGAAGUUGGGAAAAAUUAUGAUCGUGGAUCGUGGAACGAAUAAAUACUAAGCAAGUGUAGUAAAGAUUUGGAGGGCGAUGAAAAGCAAGCGACGAGGAGUCAAGGCCGCCGACGGAGGUGGCACCAAGGGGGUGAAAUUCCAAGUUCAGGACCUUUCGAAGGAUCCUUGCUCGCAACGGGACACCAUAGGGAGAUGUUAUACGAGGAGCACGUAUCACAAGAAACGGUCCACGUCCCGUGAUGAUAGGAUGAUCCACAUUCGUCCCGACACAUACGACGACGUGUUGACAAAGAGGAUGGCAGGUGAUCGUGAUUUAUCAUUGACCGGGC
rnacentral:lncRNA from 1 species